AAGAGCUCGUAGGCGGUUUGUCGCGUCUGCUGUGAAAGCCCGGGGCUCAACCCCGGGUCUGCAGUGGGUACGGGCAGACUAGAGUGCAGUAGGGGAGACUGGAAUUCCUGGUGUAGCGGUGAAAUGCGCAGAUAUCAGGAGGAACACCGAUGGCGAAGGCAGGUCUCUGGGCUGUUACUGACGCUGAGGAGCGAAAGCAUGGGGAGCGAACAGGAUUAGAUACCCUGGUAGUCCAUGCCGUAAACGUUGGGCACUAGGUGUGGGGGACAUUCCACGUUUUCCGCGCCGUAGCUAACGCAUUAAGUGCCCCGCCUGGGGAGUACGGCCGCAAGGCUAAAACUCAAAGGAAUUGACGGGGGCCCGCACAAGCGGCGGAGCAUGCGGAUUAAUUCGAUGCAACGCGAAGAACCUUACCAAGGCUUGACAUUCACCGGACCGCCCCAGAGAUGGGGUUUCCCUUCGGGGCUGGUGGACAGGUGGUGCAUGGUUGUCGUCAGCUCGUGUCGUGAGAUGUUGGGUUAAGUCCCGCAACGAGCGCAACCCUCGUUCUAUGUUGCCAGCACGUGAUGGUGGGGACUCAUAGGAGACUGCCGGGGUCAACUCGGAGGAAGGUGGGGAUGACGUCAAAUCAUCAUGCCCCUUAUGUCUUGGGCUUCACGCAUGCUACAAUGGCCGGUACAAAGGGUUGCGAUACUGUGAGGUGGAGCUAAUCCCAAAAAGCCGGUCUCAGUUCGGAUUGAGGUCUGCAACUCGACCUCAUGAAGUCGGAGUCGCUAGUAAUCGCAGAUCAGCAACGCUGCGGUGAAUACGUUCCCGGGCCUUGUACACACCGCCCGUCAAGUCACGAAAGUUGGUAACACCCGAAGCCGGUGGCCUAACCCCUUGUGG
rnacentral:rRNA from 1 species